AUACGUAGGGGGCGAGCGUUGUCCGAAUUCACUGGGCGUAAAGCGCGCGUAGGCGGGUUAUUAAGUUGGUGGUGAAAUCCCGAGGCUCAACCUCGGAACUGCCGUCAAAACUGAUAGCCUUGAGGUUUGGAGAGGGAACUGGAAUUCCAGGUGUAGCGGUGAAAUGCGUAGAUAUCUGGAGGAACACCCAUGGCGAAGGCAGGUUCCUGGCCAUAUCCUGACGCUGAGGUGCGAAAGCUAGGGUAGCGAACGGGAUUAGAUACCCCGGUAGUCCUAGCCGUAAACGAUGGAUACUAGGUGUUAGAGGUAUCGACCCCUCUAGUGCCGUAGCUAACGCAUUAAGUAUCCCGCCUGGGGAGUACGACCGCAAGGUUGAA
rnacentral:rRNA from 1 species